rnacentral:lncRNA from 1 species
UCUCCUUCAAGUUAGUGCAUAGAUAUCACACAUGCCCAACUUGCAAACCAACAUGUGAUGAGUCUUGUUACUGAGACCUUUGGUAAACACAUCAGCUAUCUGUUCAUCGAAAAUCACAUGAUCUAACCUUAAGACAUCAUUUAUUAACUUCUUUUUAAUGAAGUGUUGAUCAAUCUCUAUGUACUUCGUUCGAUCAUGUUGAACCGGAUUGUGAGCUAUACUGAUGGCAGUUUUAUUGUCACAGUACAAUAGGAGUUUGUCCAUCUCCAACCAUUUUAAUUCCUCUAACAAUCUCUGCAACCAUGGGAAUUCACGAACACCUCUCUACAACCGUAGGAAUUCACAAACACCUUGUGCCAUCGCUCUAUAUUCCGCCUCAGCACUUGAUGGAGCAACAACACUUUGCUUUUUUACUUUUUCAAGUGACAAGGUUUCUCCCACAAGUGUGCAGUAACCACUAGUUGACCUUCUAUCAUGAAGGGAUCCAGUCCAAUCUACAUCUGUGAAUGCAUGUAUGCGAAAAUGACCGUAUUUAGAGAAUAGGAGACAUUUUCCAAGAGCAGACUUCAAGUAUCGCAAAAUGCGAAAAACAGCUUUCAUGUGAGACUCGCAAGGAUCAUGCAUAAACUGACUGUCUAAGCUAAUUGGAUAUGCCAUGUCUGGUCGAGUAUGCGAAAGAUAAAUCAGUCUGUCUAACAACCUAUGAUAUCUGUCAAUAUCCAUUCAUUCACCAACCCUGCUUGUAUCUUGUGAUUGCUCUUGUUGAAUCCCACAUCGGUUGUGGAAAAGGGUAAUGUGCUCCUUAUAUGGGCCAUAGGCACUCCUCUCCCUCGAGCUAACUUUUGGGGUGAGUUAGGCUUGGCCCAAAUUUAAGAUGGUAUCAGAGCCUCUCUAUCCGAUGUUGGGCCUUCCAUAAAUAUGUCAAACACCAGUAAAAUUCUAGACGUGAGGGGGUGUGUUGAAUCCCACAUCGGUUGUGGAAAGGGGUAAUGUGCCCCUUAUAUGGGCCAUAGGCACUCCUCCCCCUUGAGCUAGCUUUUGGGGUGAGUUAGGCCUGCCCCAAAUUUAAGAGCUCUCAAUGGGAGUUUCUGCUAGUUUGCAGCCUAACAUACCAGUUUCUUUCAAAAGAUCCAUAAUGUAUUUUCUCUGAGAAAUAAAAAUUUCCUUCUUUCAUAUAGCAGCCUCGAUUUCAAGGAAAUAUUGAAGUUUUCCUAAAUCUUUAAUUUCGAACUCUUGAGCCAAAAGUUUUUUCAGCCGAUUCAUCUCUUCAGUGUCAUCCCAUGUCAUUAUUAUGACAUCAACAUAGACUAUGAAAAGAGUAAUUUUACCCUUUUUGAUGUUCGAUAAAUAGAGUAUGGUCAGCAUUGCUCUGUUGAUAACUAAAAGAAAUCAUAGCUCUACUAAAUCGAUCAAACCAAGUUCUGGAUAACUGCUUCAACCCAUACAAAGCUUUUUUUUAACUUGCACACCUUUCCUUGUGUUUUUUUAUUAGCAAAUCUAGGAGGGAUUUCUAUAUACACUUCCUCCUCCAAGUCUCCGUGGAGAAAUGCAUUUUUCACGUGAAAUUGUUGCAAGACUCGAUCCAGAUUGGCAGAACAAUACUUUGAUUGAGUUCAUUUUGGCAACAAGGACAAAUGUCUCCUAAUAAUCCACUCCAUAGGUUUGAGUGUAUCUUUUAGCAAUUAGUCCGGUCUUGAAUCUUUCAAUUGAUUCAUCUGCUUUGUGUUUUACAGUGAACUCAUUUGCAGCCAACAGAUUUUUUUCCAGGUAGAAGAGACAUCAACUCCUAGGUCUAAUUUUUAGUCAAGGCUUUCAUUUUUUCAAUUAUUGCUCCCUUUCAAUUAGAAUUUUUGAGGGCUUUCUUCCAAUUUUGUGGGUUAGACACAGAGGAAAUAGACAAGGAAAAAACUCUAUAGGAUAAAGACAAAAAAUCAUAAGAGACAAAGUUAGAAAUAGAGUGCUUUGUGCAAGAUCUAACUCCUUUUCUUUGAGCAAUUGGUUUAUUUAGAAUAUCAAUGGGCUUAAGAUUUAGGAAUGACUCACUAGAUGAAGAAAAGGAAAAUUCAUGACAUUGACUAGGCUGCACAAUGGCUUUUUUUGCUUCUGUUGUCUCUUCUUGAGUAUCUCCUUAAAUCUAAUUUAUCUAAACGCCCAAUUAUCUUUUUCUGAUCACCAAUAGUCUCCCCCUAUAUAAUAGUCUCCUUUAGAGUAAAACGCUCUAGAGUUAUAGAACUAGGAAUCAUCUCUUCUCCGUCAUUGUUCUCCCCCUGAAAAGGUGAUGGAGUAGUACAAAAGUAAGGUUCAAACUCUCUAAAUGUAACGUCCAUACUGACAAAAUAUUUUCUAUAUGAAGGGUGGUAGCACUUGUAACCUUUCUGUGUGGAAGAGUACCCAAAAACCCACAUUUAAGAGACCUUGGAUCGAGCUUUCCACCUGUUCUAAUAUGAACAAAACACAUGUAUCCAAAUACCUUUGGUGGAACAAUAUAAGCAUUUUUCUCUUGUAGCACCUCUAAAGGGCUUUUAAAGGCAAGAGAUUUUAGAGACAUUCUAUUAAUGAGAUAAGCUGCAGUUAAGACUUCAUCUCCCCAAUAGGUUUUUAGAAAGUUCAUAGUGAAAAAGAGAGAUCGGGCUACUUCCAACAGGUGUCUAUUUUUUCUUUCAGCAAUACCGUUUUGGGCACUAGUGUAAGGACAACUAAUUUGAUGCAGUAUCCCAUUAAACUCCAUAUAAGCUAAGAAACGGCCAUCCAUAUACACUAUACUAUUAUCAGUUCUCAAAACUUUUAUCUUAGCAUCAAAUUGAGUACAAAUCAUCUUGUGAAAAAAUUGAAAGCAAGAAACUACAUCACUCUUUGCCUUUAUUAAAUAAACCUAAGUCAUGCGAGUGCAACAAUCAAUAAAAGUAACAAAUCAAUGAUUACUAGAUAAUGAGACCAUUUGAGUAGGUCUCCAAACGUCAGGAUAGAUGAUCAAAAAAAGGAUCGUACUCUUAUUAUUACGGGAGAGACAAGAGGUUUUUGUAUGCUUAGUAUACUCACAAGCAUCACAAACUAAAGAACCACAUUUAGCCUUGAAAAAUAAAUCAGGAUAAAGUUUAUCUAAAACAAAGAAGGAUGAGUGUCUUAAUCAUCAAUGCCACUGUAUGAUUUCCUGGUUGACAUUCUGAUUUCUUCUAAAAAGAGUCCGAGGUGAAUUCAAACCCAGAUUCCUUUCCAACAUAUAUAAGUCAUCGUGCAAUCUACCAUAGACAAUCUUCUUUCCAGUUUGAAGGUCCUGAAUGACACAAUGAUUAGGAAAAAAAACUCAAUUUUACAGUUAAGAGUUUUGGUAAGAGCACUGACAGAUAAAAGAUUAACAGGACAAGAGGAACAUGGAGAACAGAGGAUAGCUUAAUAUUGGAAGUACAAACAAUCGAUCCAGUUCCAGAGACAGGAAUAAAA